rnacentral:snRNA from 1 species
UUUUUCGGCCGGUUUUCCGGUAAAUGUGUACAUAUGUCAUGCCAAUAAAAAAAAAAAAAAAAAAAAAAAAAAAAAAAAAGAUUCUUUCGCCUUUUACUAAAGAAUUCCGUGGAGAGGAGCAGUUCAAUGAGUCUUCAACAUUUUUCGAUAUCCAACUUUGGUCGGUUU